GAUGGCGUGCCUUUUGUAGAAUGAACCGGCGAGUUGCGACAGACUGCGAGGUUAAGGAGGAAAGACCGGAGCCGAAGCGAAAGCGAGUCUUAAGAGGGCGAAAGUAGGAUGUUGCAGACCCGAAACCGGGUGAUCUAGCCAUGAGCAGGUUGAAGUUGAGGUGAAACUCAAUGGAGGACCGAACCGACUACCGUUGAAAAGUUAGCGGAUGACUUGUGGCUAGGGGAGAAAUUCCAAUCGAACCCGGAGAUAGCUGGUUCUCCCCGAAAUAGCUUUAGGGCUAGCGUCGGAAAGAACCUUAGUGAAGGUAGAGCACUGAAUGUGUGAUGGCCCCAUCCCGGGGUACUGAAUACAAUCAAACUGCGAAUGUCAUUAAGGAUGUCCGGCAGUCAGACUGUGAGUGAUAAGGUCCAUGGUCAAGAGGGAAACAGCCCAGACCGCCAGUUAAGGUCCCAAAAUACAGGCUAAGUGGAAAAGGAUGUGGGGAUGCCCAGACAACUAGGAGGUUGGCUCAGAAGCAGCCAUCCUUUAAAGAGUGCGUAACAGCUCACUAGUCGAGUGACCCUGCGCCGAAAAUGUACCGGGGCUAAGCCUGAUACCGAAACUGCGGAUUGUAGGAAACUAUAGUGGUAGGGGAGCGUUGUAUACGAGCAGAAGCCGUACCGUGAGGAGCGGUGGAUUGUAUAGAAGUGAGAAUGCCGGUGUGAGUAGCGAGAUGUAGGUGAGAAUCCUACACACCGAAAGCCCAAGGAUUCCAGGGGAAGGUUCGUCCGCCCUGGGUAAGUCGGGACCUAACGCGAGGCCGAAAGGCGUAGUGGAUGGAAAGCAGGCGAAAGAUUCCUGCACCCGUAUAUGGAGCGAAGGAGUGACGGAGACGGAUAGUGUGACCCUCUUAAUGGAUUGAGGGCGAAGCGAAGCGGCUGGUUACCAGGCAAAUCCGGUAACCAUAAGGCUAGAGCGUGACAGGUAAGCGAAAUCUUAGGAAAGUAGCGAAGCACAUGAUGACGGCUUCCAGGAAAAGCUUCUGGCAAUGCAUAUGCGGCCCGUACCAAAACCGACACAGGUGGGCAGGGAGAGAAUCCCGAGGUGAGCGAGAGAACUGUUGCCAAGGAACUCGGCAAAAUGACUCCGUAAGUUAGCGAGAAGGAGUGCUUAAGCAAUUAAGCCGCAGUGAAGAGGCCCAAGCGACUGUUUAACUAAAACACAGCUCUCUGCGAAGUCGCAAGACGAAGUAUAGGGGGUGACACCUGCCCGGUGCUGGAAGGUUAAGAGGAUCUGUUAAGAGCGAUCUGAAGCAGUGAUCCGAAGCCCCAGUGAACGGCGGCCGUAACUAUAACGGUCCUAAGGUAGCGAAAUUCCUUGUCAGGUAAGUUCUGACCCGCACGAAAGGUGUAACGAUUUGGGCGCUGUCUCGGCAGCAGACUCGGUGAAAUCUUAGUACCUGUGAAAAUGCAGGUUACCCGCAACUAGACGGAAAGACCCCAUGGAGCUUUACUGCAGCCUGAUAUUGAAUUCUGGUCAUACAUGUACAGGAUAGGUGGGAGACAAAGAGACGUGCACGCCAGUGUACGAGGAGUCGACGUUGGGAUACCACUCUUGUGUGACCGGGGUUCUAACCUGGUAUCGAGAACAGGUACGGGGAGAGUGUCAGGUGGGCAGUUUGACUGGGGCGGUCGCCUCCCAAAGAGUAACGGAGGCGCCCAAAGGUACGCUCAGAUUGGAUGGAAACCAAUCGUCGAGUGCAAUUGCAGAAGCGUGCUUGACUGUGAGACAGACAAGUCGAACAGGGACGAAAGUCGGGAAUAGUGAUCCGGCGGUGCCGAAUGGAAGGGCCGUCG
rnacentral:rRNA from 1 species